CCACCUUGAAGCUGUAAGCACCCUGGACACCCAUUCCAGAAGGAUGUUUUUGUCAGAUGAAGAUUCCAAUUUAGGAAAAUAUUAGAACAGAGAUUUCAAAGGGACUUCAGAAAAUGUUUAAAGGCUGUAGACCAAAUGCUGUUUUGCUGUCUGAAGAGAUCUCAGUAAAGGGACAGUAGUUAAAGAGGAACGAUUACAUUGUAAAAAGUCAUAAAACCUUCCAGUAUUCAGUCUCAGGAGGUAAGUUUAUCAAUUUAAUUGAAUUAAAAUAUU
rnacentral:lncRNA from 1 species